rnacentral:rRNA from 1 species
AGAAUCAACGCUGGCGGCGUGCCUAAUACAUGCAAGUCGAACGCGAAGUCCCCGCAAGGGGAUUGUAGCGUGGCAAACGGGUGAGUAACGCGUGGGCGACCUGCCUUCGAGUGGGGGAUAACCUUCCGAAAGGGAGGCUAAUACCGCAUGACAUGCCCUGUUUAGAUACGGGGACAUCAAAGCUGGGGAUCGCAAGACCUGGCGCUUGAAGAGGGGCCUACGUCCGAUUAGCUAGUUGGUGGGGUAAUGGCUCACCAAGGCGACGAU